UAGCCAUAAAUAAUAUCAGUGAAGUGAGGUGAAUUAAAUUUCAAGGUUUUAUUUUUUUUUUAUUCAAAGGAAAGAAAUUUUUUUCGACAAAAAGAAGGAAUGUAAUUUGUUUUUAAAAAGAUAUUAAUUUUUAUUGAAAAAGUUUACCUACCAUAUUUUACUAGUCAUGGAAACGCCAUGUCAACUUUGUUGUAUUGUCAUAA
rnacentral:lncRNA from 1 species